rnacentral:rRNA from 1 species
GAUGAACGCUGGCGGCGUGCCUAAUACAUGCAAGUCGAGCGAAUUGAUUAGAAGCUUGCUUCUAUGACGUUAGCGGCGGACGGGGGAGUAACACGUGGGCAACCUGCCUGUAAGACUGGGAUAACUUCGGGAAACCGAAGAUAAUACCGGAUAGGAUCUUCUCCCUCAUGGGAGAUGAUUGAAAGAUGGUUUCGGCUAUCCCUUCCAGACGGGCCCGCGGUGCAUUAGCUAGUUGGUGAGGUAACGGCACACCAAGGCAACGUUGCAUAGCCGACCUGAGAGGGUGAUCGACCACACUGGGACUGACACACGGCCCAGACUCCUACGGGAGGCAGCAGUAGGGAAUCUUCCGCAAUGGACGAAAGUCUGACGGAGCAACGCCGCGUGAGUGAUGAAGGCUUUCGGGUCGUAAAACUCUGUUGUUAGGGAAGAACAAGUACGAGAGUAACUGCUCGUACCUUGACGGUACCUAACCAGAAAGCCACGGCUAACUACGUGCCAGCCGCCGCCGUAAAAC